CGAGACACUGCGUGGAGCGAUGUGUAGUGUGCGGACUCCGAUCUUAGAGGUCGGAUGUGGAUGUUUCGGGAUUCACCGAACUAGAUUCCUGACUGAUUCACCACAGGGUGGACUUUGGGGAACACGACUGAGAAACGGGUACUACGUCAGCGAAAACUGGCCCCAGAACAGGAGGGAGUGUGGUGCCAGCUGUCCUCUCUGUGAAAUCCACGCUGUGUCCGGGAGCGUGGAUUUCAUGGAAUUCCUCCCUUUGUGACAGGUAUUGCCACUCUGAGGUCGUGGGUCUGGAGUAUACUCUGAAACGCUAUGGACUGGUCUUCUGCCUUAGAUAGGUCCCACCUCGGGACCUAGUCUCUGUCCGCACUCCCAUGCUCUGGUGGUCCUCUUUUCUCUCUGGGGGGAAGGAAGUUCCAGACGAUCCCAUGAGCAGAAAGGCCUCAAUGCCUUCUGAAGUGUCUCCUAUGCAGAUUCUACAUAAAGAGUGUUUCCAUACUGCUGAAUUAAAAGU
rnacentral:lncRNA from 1 species